CGCGAGAGAAAUUCCGAGUAUAAAACUCAGCCAAAACCUUGUUAUAGCUAUUAUCAAAUACCUUUCUUCCUCUGCGAACCUAGAAAUUCUAGACAAGUUGAACGCCAAAUGGCUACCAUAGACGAAAGUCCCUCUGCUAAGCGGUGGCUUCCUCUUGAAGCUAAUCCAGAUGUUAUGAACAUGAACCAGUUCCUUUGGGGCUUAGGUCUUCCGGAGAGUGAAGCAGAGUGCUAUGAUGUUUAUGGCUUGGAUGAGGAACUCUUGGAAAUGGUUCCGAAGCCUGUUCUUGCCGUUUUGUUCCUCUAUCCCAUAACUCAGCAGAGUGAAGAAGAGAGAAUGCGGCAGGAAGGUGUGAAAAAGGAACAUGGCAGUAAAGUUUAUUUCAUGAAACAAACUGUGGGUAAUGCUUGUGGAACGAUAGGGCUUCUUCAUGCUGUUGGGAACAUCAAUUCAGAUAUCAAGCUUCUUGAGGGAUCAUUCUUGGAUAAGUUUUUCAAAUCCACUGCAAAGAUGGAUCCACUGGAGCGUGCUGCAUAUCUUGAGAAUGACAGAGAAAUGGAAGUUGCACAUUCUGUAGCAGCAACAGCUGGUGAUACAGAGGCUUCAGAUAAUGUGGACACUCACUUUAUCUGCUUCGCGUGUGUGGAAGGAGAACUUUUUGAGCUUGAUGGAAGAAAGUCGGGACCAAUAUCACAUGGUGCAUCCUCACCAAGCAACUUAAUGCAGGAUGCAGCUAAAGUCAUACGGAACAUGAUCCAGAAAAACCCUGACUCCCUUAAUUUUAAUGUAAUCGCCAUUUCAAAGAAAGCUGAAGGUGCAAUUUAAAUUUGGCAGUUUCAGGCUGUACAAGUUUUGUCCAGCCAUCCAUGAUGUGGUCGGUUGUAGGCUUUAUAAAACCCUUUGUCAUCAGUUAAAGACAUGCAGGGAAUAAUUUUCUGUUAAAUGUUCUGUGUAAAGCUAAAUCUUUAGCAUAAGAUUUCUAUUAUGAAUCUCGCUGGUUGGAUGUACGGUUUGAGUUCCAAUAUUGUUCAACCC
rnacentral:misc_RNA from 1 species